rnacentral:lncRNA from 1 species
GAGCGUUAUGAGGAGUUACCUCUUCAACAUCCCGGACAUCCGUGGGGGGAUAAUCAAACAAAUCCUCAUAAUAAGUCUUCCAGAGGCCAAAGAGCUGGAUUGUCCGUGCUGUUUGCUGAUAAUAAUUUGUCAGACUUUAUAAGAAUUGUCAAAUACAAUGCGACUGCAUCAGAGAAACCUAGCACCCUUAGUACCAUCGAGAGCCCUUCUGGUUCUUUGCUUUACCCUACUGGUAAACGGAUGGAAUGCUUCCACCAUCAUAAAUAGGGUAAAAAGCGACUAAGUGCGAAACACUUCAUAUUUGCCAAAAUUUAUUAGUUAAAAACGGAUCAGUCUUCGAUUAUCCAACUCGACCCUAAAAUCUGCAUUUCAUGAAGUAUAGACUCAGGUUCAAUGCUUAAUAAUCUUUUAUGCGUCAGUAGUAAUGAAAAACGAUUCCUCAUCGAGACUAGAUCUCAGCGGUACAUAGUUCCGAAAAAAAAGUCCAUUCGCACUAUAUUGAUCGAGCGCCUCCCAAGCUUAUUUAUUCCAAAGGAGCUUCCGUAGAAACAUAUGGGUUGAGGUAAUUAUGGAUCGAAUUCGAGCCUGUGUACAGAGUUGAAUGGGAGUUUGUUGUGGCAAACAUAGAAUACGGUUGUUGCUGAUUUCCUAGGCCAUUACAGAUUGUCUGUUGAUAUGGAAUGUAAGAUGUUACAACGUAACGAAGUGCAGACAACAAUAGAAGAGCGCUGUAAUAUUGCCAACAAAUUAUGUAUCGAAUUUCCUACCCCACAGUCUAAGGACGAAUUCUGUUCUGAGCCUCGUCAUGGUGUCAAACACGAGAUCUUCACAACAGGGAGCCCUUGUUACUCGCAUACUCGUCGAAUAACUCCAGAAAAGGAAGCUAUAGUGAAGGCGGGGAUAUCUAAACUAAGGUCAGCGGGAACAUUGCGAAGUUAAAAAUCAAAUUGGCCGUUCCCAAUGCAUUUGGUGGAAAAGCAAGACUGUUCCUGGCGUAUGGCUGGAGACUAUAGGCAAUUGAACAAUCUGACGCUCCUAGAUCGAUACCCAAUCCCUCAUAUUCCCAGUUGCAAAUACUUCACCAAAUUGGAUCUCAAGCAAGCCUGCUAUCAGGUUUGUAUGUCGAGCGAAGACGCCAAGAAAACGGCUAUUACUACAUGUGCCGGAUUGUACGAGUUUACAAGGAUGCGCUUUGGACUCCGUAAUGCCUUUAAUACAUUCCAACGAUUGAUGGAUUCGUUAUUUGGAUAAAUGGAGUUCGUAUUCGCUUACAUCAACGAUAUAAUGGUGGCUUCGCUGUAAGAAAGAGAGCAUCACAUUCACAUCAAGCAGGUUCUUCAAGUUCUGAAAGAUAAUGAUCUUGCUCAUAGUGUAGAGAAAAUAUAGUUUUAAGAAGCAAGGAUUGAACUUUUCAACAUGUCAUUAGCGAAAACGGCAUUCGUUCCCUCAAAGAACAACUCAAUCAGAUGAGAGUGCUAGAUCUACACAGAAAAGGUGACUUGCAUAAUUUAAUUGGGAUGGUUCAUUAAUACAGAAGAUUUGUUCCUAACCUGGGGGCACUGUUAGACCCAUCGUAUAAAUUGUUACCCAAGUUCAAAGGUUAGAGUGGACUGAAGAAGGCAACUCAUCGUUCCUCAAAUUACGGGAUACUCUUUCCAGUGUUGCUACCCUUGGGCAUUAUUCCCCCAAGAGGGACCUUUUUCUGACUGUCGACGCAUCAGACAAAGCUAAUGGCGGAGUGCUGGAACAGCAAGAUGAUCGAGGCGAUUUCCUCCAAAUGGGAUUCUUUAGUAAGGCUUUAAACGCAACUCAGACUCGAUGUUCGACCUUCUAGAGGGGUCUCUUUGGGGUUAUAGAGGCCCUUCGACAUUUUAGAUUUUUCAUUGAAGGACGCAUGAUUACUGUGUUUACGGACCAUCAGCCCCUAGUCGACGCUAAUAAAUCUAAAAAUCCUACUUGGUCAAAUACAUUUUAUUGAUAUUUUACGGAAAUUUUUUAAUAUAGUGCUAAAUUGUAGCCAUAAGGGGUAAAGAUAAUGUUCUAGAAGAUUUCCUUUCCAGAGUAAACAACAUUAUAAUCGACGCGGUGGAUUGGAAGAAAUUCUCGACGAUUCAGAAGCGGGUCUAUACAUCCGAAUGCUUCGAACAAAAGAUCCAUCCAAAUCGACCUAUUGAGCCCAAUCCCAUUCAUUAAAAUGUUAGCCUUCGAAUGAAAACACACAAAUGAAUAGUUUUGUCGAACAAUGGGAGACGGAUCGAGUUUUGAACUCCAAACACAACAGCUUAUUUUAUAUGAUUUUAUUGCUCAGUCACUCUUAAAAAGGUGUUUCACUCUUCUGAUACAAAUUCCCGAAUGGAAAGGCCAAUAAAAAAAAAAAAGAAAAAAUAGUGAGCUCACUUCCUUCACCUGAAAAUUGGAGUUGGGAAGGUCAAGGAAAAAUCAUUUGAAUUUGAAUAUACUAAGAAGAACAAGUCCUCAGUAGCUCCCUCUCCAAUCAAGAGCUAAGAGAUGGGAAAAGCUUGAUGACCUCUUACCUACUGACGAUUCAAUAGGAUUUUUGAAAUUAAUACACCUCCCUUUCCAUGUAACUCGUAUACAAGCCACGCCUGAGAUGUCAUCAUAAUGAUUCAUGUAUAUUAAUAAAGCUAAGUUUAUCAUUAUCUAUGAAAAACAGUUGUAUAUAGUUCUCUCUGAUGUAUAUCAUGCACUAAUACAGAAUGAAAAAAAAAGGGUGUAUAAUAUAAAAGGGGGAACUGUAUAAUAUGAAUGAAAUCUCCCAGGCGUUUAGUUCAACUCAUAUUGAAAACGAAAAAACUAGCUUUCAUGGAUCGCAAGGGUGAAACACCAGGUAAGUAUAUGCCACCUUCAUAUAACUCUCCCUCAAUGGACAGCUGGUAUUCCUUCUAAGGCAUCAACUCCUCUUACGCCCUUAAUAUGGAAUAUCUUUCUAACCGUUGCUGGCUAAUUCACUUUGCUCCACAUUUUCUUCAAAUGCACUCCUCAAGUUGAACACUACUUGAUGGCAUUUGCAAAUUCUAUAUGAAAGAUCCUAUCGUUUAAAGGAAGGAAUGUUGGAAGGUUUUUAGAUGAACCCUUAACUAAGAUGUUUAAAGAUGCGCUCAGUUGUUUUUGGAGAGGUGGAAAUUGUUUUCAAAAUUAUGGAAUGUCUAACCUCCAUUACCUCAUUAGGCUUAUGAUUAGCUACUUCAUCAUAACAUACUGUGUAGCAGGCAUUCUUCUAUUUCAUAUUGAAGUUUCCGUCUCAUUGGAUCAUGUCAGUAAAAUCACGACACUCUAUUUUUGCAUUAAAGGGAUGACCUUAUUUGUCUUUUAACUCUGCCGUGAGAGGGAAAAAAGUUCUUUCAUCCAGAAGAAUGAAGGAUUGAGGUUUCAUUAGAAUGUGAUACAUUUUAUUCAAAUUUAUAAAUUAUAAUUUAUAUUCUUCCAUUAAUUAUCAUUAUUGUCUUGUAGAUAUUUUUAAAGCAGUAGCCUCAUUUCCUGUUUUGUAAUCAUAUUUGAUACUCUUUAAUCCCCUAAACAUUUAUAAAAAAUCAAUUUACAUUAGUGUUAAUGUUAUAUGUUACCACUAAUUAAUUUUAAAUAACUAAUAGGUAUUAUUCCAUUACCAAAGACUAAUAAUAUAUCAAAUAUAACUAGACUUAUGAUUUUUUGAACUAUUUUUUUUUCUUCAUAAAAUGAGCAAAAACAGAGAGCUACAAUUUAAAAAAGUGAGCACCCAAAAUAGCAAGAUUGAGCAAUUUAGAAAAAUAAAUUUUUAUAAGGAUAAUUUAAAACAA